GUUUCAAUAUAAGUAUGUCCCAUGAGAUAUUUGGGAUAUACUUAUACUAAAU
rfam:Callithrix jacchus chromosome 15, whole genome shotgun sequence